rnacentral:rRNA from 2 species
AGGGUAAUUUUGAGGUCGGGCGGUCUAUCAUGCAGUCGAGCGGAUCUUCAUUAGCUUGCUUUUGAAGAUCACCGGCGGACGGGUGAGUAACACGUGGGCAACCUGCCUGUAAGACUGGGAUAACUUCGGGAAACCGGAGCUAAUACCGGAUAAUCCUUUCCCUCACAUGAGGGAAAGCUGAAAGACGGUUUCGGCUGUCACUUACAGAUGGGCCCGCGGCGCAUUAGCUAGUUGGUGAGGUAACGGCUCACCAAGGCAACGAUGCGUAGCCGACCUGAGAGGGUGAUCGGCCACACUGGGACUGAAACACGGCCCAAACUCCUACGGGAGGCAGCAGUAGGGAAUCUUCCGCAAUGGACAAAAGUCUGACGGAGCAACGCCGCGUGAGCGAUGAAGGCCUUCGGGUCGUAAAGCUCUGUUGUCAGGGAAAAACAAGUACCGGAGUAACUGCCGGUACCUUGACGGUACCUGACCAAAAAGCCACGGCUAACUACGUGCCAGCAGCCGCGGUAAUACGUAGGUGGCAAGCGUUGUCCGGAAUUAUUGGGCGUAAAGCGCGCGCAGGCGGUUCCUUAAGUCUGAUGUGAAAGCCCCCGGCUCAACCGGGGAGGGUCAUUGGAAACUGGGGAACUUGAGUGCAGAAGAGGAGAGCGGAAUUCCACGUGUAGCGGUGAAAUGCGUAAAGAUGUGGAGGAACACCAGUGGCGAAGGCGGCUCUCUGGUCUGUAACUGACGCUGAGGCGCGAAAGCGUGGGGAGCGAACAGGAUUAGAUACCCUGGUAGUCCACGCCCGUAACGAUGAGUGCUAAGUGUUAGAGGGGUUUCCCGCCCUUUAGUGCUGCAGCAACGCAUUAAGCACUCCCGCCUGGGGAGUACCGGCCGCAGGCUGAACUCAAGAAUUGACCGGGUCCGCACAGCGGUGGAGCAUGUGGUUAAUUCCGGAAC